UCUUCGUAAUCUUCGUGUGUAAUUUGCGCUCUUUUUAUUAGAGGGCACGACGCAGGCAAUGAGGAGGUGGCGGAGGGGAGGGGAGGGCAGAGGCGAGGAGCGGCCGCGCGCCGCCGCUCCGGGCGCGGAUCCCAAACGCUCCCCCGGGAGGGCCGCGGCGGUGGGUGCGGCGGGUACAGUGAGGCUAGGCCGCCGGCGUUCGAGAGGAAGCUCGAGGAGAGGUCGCCGGAGGGGCGGCUGCUGCUGCACCUGCUGCUGUGCAGGGGCGCGAGGGAGGGGCUCUGGAGGAGGCUACCGGUCGCGGCGGCGUCCUCCGCGAGGUCCGCGUUCGUCCCGCCCGAGGUCUCGGGGGGCUAGCGCCUCCUCCUCGGCGCGCACCUGCGGGUGGGCGGGCGCCGCGAGUCCCAGCGCCUAGACUACGGGCACCACCUCUUCCAGACGGUCUGGAGCCUGCGCCUCUCCAGGCGCUGCUCGACGCACCGCAUACAACCACAGCUCAACUCCGUCUCCUUGCACCGGCCCUUACCCUCCCGCCACUGCAAACGCCUCCUGCGCCGAUCGUCGACGCCUUCGUCGAGCGCACUUUCGCGGCGCCGGCGGCGGCGGCGGCGGCGCCACGGCCUACACUAACUGGGCCGGGCCGCCGGACUCCGCUUGCCACAGCACUUCUUUGACCUCUUCCUACUCAGCGACCUGACCCUUUUCAUGUAGUUCCUCUUGUCGUUGCAAGAGCCUCUUCAGCUCGCGGCACUGUUAAGUGGUAAGUCUAUGAAGUAACCUCUUUACAUAUCGCCGUUAAGCGAAUCCUCAUGUUAACGUCACCCAUUACUGUUCUUCGCUGUCGCCCAGAUGUUGUGAUACAAAGUACACGGAACCUCUACACUUGCCGAUUAACAGCGUCCUAAGAAACAGACGGAACUAAGGAAAGACAGAAACGAGUGGUAAUACGGACGUUCUUAACACUACUGUCAAACCGCUUAAGACUUUUGGUCCGUCAAAGAAGCCGGUUUACGACGACUAAAUAGUCUAAUACCUACAAAACAUCAAGAUCGGGAUCCUCAACGAAGAAACGUUUACUAUCUAUAAUCAAACUAAAUGGUACAGUAAGCACCGGUCCCGUGCUAGUUCGAGAUACACCAUAUGUUGCAUGAUCUCUAGAAACUGUUUGAUACAGUUAGUAAACCGCUCCUACACAACGUUCAAAACAAGUUGAGUCGACUCCCUGACAGUUGCACAAGUUGACUGUCCCAGUGUAAGCUUGACAACGCAAAGGAAAACCUACCUCGAUAACGUCAGGAGCGUAAACAACACGUAAGUAAACAGGAGAAUCGGGUUCGAUAGUGGGACAGUUGUACAUAAUAACGGGUAUUGUUACGUGAUAACCGAGAAAACCACAGGUUAUUAAAACGGCUCUAAUUUUCGUUACAUAAAUUCUUUCAAUCGUUUCUCUUGGAAGUGUUAGACCAAAUGAUACUAUAGUAACUCUCCAAAGUAUAGUGUCGUAAAAAUGACAAACAUGAUCGAGUUUUAUAGAACCUUCGUCUCCCCGGUACCAAACUGUCAAAAGAAUAAUUACGAAGGAUACAUAAAUACACACUUCACGAAUAACUACGAUAGUUCGUAAGUAAGGAACGUUUUAAAUUACUCUAUUUCGGUCAACGAAUAAGUCUCAAAGACCUUCUGAAUAGGUUCGUCUAUAACUUACUCGUUGGACUACUGGCAGUCUUUCUAGAUUGUAAGUAGGGGGAACGGGGACGAACACACCAUUAAGCACACGACUGAGGUCACAUACGGUGGGACGAAGGACGACCCGGCAAAUAGACCUCUUAUAAGACCUAAAACGAGACCAGUCAAGACUGGAUAAAAUAGGAGCGGUAGAAGUUCUAUGAACACCCUAACUAUGACGCAACGGAGCGCUGAACCAUAUAGUUAGAUGCAGAGUGUUCUUUUGUUGUACGCCUGACUCGUGGACUGCGGUAUUGGGACCACAAUUCUACUGUCGUAAGAACUCUUCUGUUAAACUACACCACGCGCUUCAUGUCGUUGACGGCGUAGUCGGCACUCAAGCUAGUGGACGGGUAUACUGUCUUUAGAACUAUCACAUCAUGUCGUGUCUCCUUAUACAGCUUGUAGAAAAAGUCGUUUGGUAAAGCAGCUAAGUUCCUUGAUCCAUAUCAGGUUAAAACGGCGCAAAUGUUGUAGAAAGACAGUAGGAAGACACCUAUCAAGUAAAGUAGGAUUUCAAUAGACGGAGUUGGAUCUCUUCUAAAAAAACAUUUCGGGACACCUAGACAGACAAAACAUAUUAAGUAAAUUCUUCUUUUAUACCGUCGAAGCAGCCGUCACCGAAAGAAGAAGAUCAGAAAGACACAGUGCAUACCGAGCACAGACCCGACCCGCACCGUCGCAAAAGAAAAAAAAGAUCGUCAAUUCUAAUAACGGUUUUUUCUUUUUUAUAGAACACGGAAGUAUUUUUAUAUAAAGACAC
rnacentral:rRNA from 1 species